rnacentral:tRNA from 2 species
GGGUUCGUGGUCUAGUGGUAUGACGCCUCCCUUACAAGGAGGAGGUCGGUGGUUCAAUUCCGCCCGGACCCA